GCUGGGUGUGGUGGUGCAUGCCUGUAAUCCCAGUGGCCCAGGAGGCUGAGGCAGGAAGAUUGUGAGUUCAAAGCCAGCCUCAG
rnacentral:sRNA from 1 species